CCCGAUUAACCCUGUUGUUCUUGUUUUCUUCUUGUUUCUGAGCAUUAAAUCAUUUUUUGGUGAAUCUCUGAUAUGAUUUGGUCAAAUAAAACCUUUUUACAAUUUGGGCAAAGAAAAACCCUUUUAAAUUUUGAAGAUUUAAGCAAGAGUUUGGGUGUGUGCAUGUUUGUUUUCAGGAGAUUCGGAUUGUUUGUUAAUUUGUAAUAUUGAAAUUCUUAAUUUUACAAUAUUAUUUAGCUUGUUUGCUACUGUAAGCAUGAUUAGACUUUCUGUUGAUAUUACUGGUGCUGCUCGCACUAUUAGGUGUUAACUUUAUGGCUAAUAGAUGAUCUUUGGAGGAUAUAUUCUGUGUUUAGGAGUGAUUCAAGUAUUUUCCUUUUGAACUAAUGUAAUAUUUAAAGUUUUGCACUGACCCCUAAUUUCAUAUGUCUAAGCAAAGAUCUUAGUCUUUUCCCCUAAGUAGUCCCAGUUUCUUGUUUAUUAGAUUUUUCUUAGGUUUCUUACUAUGAAGUACUGUUCAUAGUCUCAUUGCUAAUUUUAGAGCUACACCUAAAUUUUGUGAUGUGAUUGUCUUAAAUUGACUGAUUAUACACUGGGUAGGACCAACAAUAUGAGGUUACAUGGGCACUAGAGAAGUUAAUUUGAUGAGGAUAAUAAUAUCUUUCAGUUGAUCAGAAUGGUUCUUGUUUAUGAACUUCCGCUUGGAGAUAAAGAAGCAAAGAAAUGAUCAACCAUCCUCUGGUCAAGACCAACUGUGUAAUCUUACAUAGGAUGUUAGAAGAGGAUAACGAUAUUUUUUUUAUGUGAUAAGAAUGAUUCUCUUUUAUGAAAUUUAGCUUAUAACUUUGUGAUGAAUUGAGGAAAGGAUCGAAUUUGAGAAAAAGCUGAAAAUAUGAAAUUAGUCUUUUAUUGAGGAUUACUUAGUUAAAAUGGUUUAGUUAUACUGAAAAUGGGAAACUUUUUGGAACGUCUCAGUUUAGCAGUUGAAGUGGUGAAAGUCACUCAAUUGAGUUUUAAAGUUGUAGUGGGUCGAACACACUGCCUCAAUGAUAGAUAGACGCUAAUCAAAGUGUUGACUUGUUAGUCCAACAUUUGUCUCCCACCUAGAAUAAUUGUACUUGGGCAUUAUGUUUCCAGUGUUGUCAUCAUUGACACUUAACAUCCAUGUAUAUCAUAAGAAAUUGAGGCCCUAUAAUUUGAUCACAUAUGCAGUAAUUUACCUAUGCAAAAUGAAAUAAGCCAAAAAUAUGUUAUAUUUGGAAAAAAUGAGGAGUAAAACAAAAACCGAUUUUUUAUUAUGGUUUCACAGAAUGAUAAAGGGAAACUUUAAUGUUUCAUUUUUAGUUUUAGCAGUUUUUGUUUCCAGACUUCUUUCAAUCACUGGUUAAUCCAAAAAAGCAGUCCCAAUUCUUCUGCUUCUUCCAAUUCGGGACUCCCCCUUAAACUCUUUAGUUACAGUUAUACACCAAAUAUACAUGAAAUUGAAUGUUGCAAAGUAGUUAUUUUCAAUCAAUGGUUAAUUCAAAAUUAGAUUACAUUUCCAUGACCUUGUUGAAAUAACAUUUUACUGUGUUAGUAUUGUAACUUUUAUAUAGUAUUGUAACUUUUAUACGAUAUAUUCUAAAUUAUUAGUAAAUUCAGUUCCAUUUGAUGUGCUGAAAUUCGUAAGUUCAAUUCAAUUUGAUAUUUCGAUUAUCUUUAAUACUAGAAGUUGUGUUAGUAUUGUCUCUAUCAUACGGUAGGUACCGAAAUUAGUAAGUUUUAUUCGAUCUGAUAUUACAAGUGUUGAAGCUACGUAAUAUCUGUAUUUUCUGUAAAUUAAGACAAGUUCCACAUUGAAGGCACUUUAGUUCCCACUUUUCACUUAUAGCUCCACAGAUUGCACUUUUUAUCUCAAAAAACACUGAUUUUGGGGCUUAGAUGAAGAAUGCACAAUAAAUAAAUAGACUGGUAGGAUGAGAAUAGAUAAUUUGAUAGUGGACAUAAAUCAUCUGGUGCAUCAGAUCCAAUCUUCUCCCAAAUUCCACAUGAUAUCAAGGGUGACAUAUUAACUUAAUUGUAAAAAUGCUCAAGAUCAACUUACAAUGUAGCAUCUAAGGAUUUUUAUAAUCCCACAGAUGUAUUUUUCUGAAAGAUUAAAUCCCUGUAAAUGUUGUUCUCAACAUAAGAGAAAGAAGUUGGCCAUUAUCUCGUGGCAGUUCCAGCAAUCUGAUAUUCCUGAUAUGCUUAAUAUGGUUGAAACAUGGUUUCGAUAACGUUAAUGUGGGUAGUUUGGAGAGAGAGAUGGAAGUGCUUAUGAAGGUGUAGAGUCGAGUUUCUUGCAAUUGAGGAGUAGUCUCUGCUCUCUUAUUUUCUUUUGGUGUAAACAGAAAGUUCCUGCUUGCUUAGAAGAUCUCACUAGGCACUAAUUACCAUUUCAACUACAUCUUCUAUUUUUUUUCAAAAACACAAAUAAAAAAUGAAUCUUUAGCAAGAUAAAGGAUCUUGUUUUUACCUUGUAAGUAUUUUUGGUAUGCCACUGCCUGCUUUUGUUAAUUGAAGGUAAAAAUAGUUGAUUUUUAUUAUACAUUUGGUGCAGUCUAUUUAUCAGGUUGCCAUUACAGACCCCUUUUUAGUCUAAAAAAGGAAACAGUAGUUUUUGCCAAAGGUAAAGAUUUCUGUUUUUUCCUCGUUUGGUGUGAGUCUACUACUUGUUUAUAAAGCCUAUUUUAGAAACUGAUGGUGUGUGCGGUAAACAUUUUUUGAUGCUUCCAAUGAGUGUGGUCUUAUUUUUCAUUUCUGAACUACUUUGAACUAUUUUUUCUUGAGCCGGGGUCUAUUGAUAUAAACACUUUUUACCUAUUAGGUAGGUGGUAAGUUCUGCAUAUACUUUCCCUCAUCGUCAUCCUGUUAUGGGAUUAUAUUGAAUAUAUUGUUGUACUUCAAUUAGGUGUGGUGUUAUUUCAUUUUCUGAACUGCUUUGAACUAAUUUUUCUCGAGCCAUUUUCUAGACACAUGGUUAUUGUGAUAGCCGAAGGAGUUGGCCAGGAAAUUCUUGCAACAGAGAAUUCCCAUUCUAGAAUUGAACGCGAUUCUCCAAGAAACAAGCUUCCCCAAGAUGUUGGUUUGUGGGUAUCCCAUAAAAUCAGGGAUAACUCAUUGCAGGUUGUAUGGGCUAAUCAUGCAGACCGGAGAAGAUUAAUAAGUCGAAUAGAACUGAUAUAGAAGACCGACCCAAUCAACUAACAAGUUUGGACCGGUGCAUAGCUAUUGAUAUCAAUGAAUUAUGCAGCAUGAUACCUUGUGGUUUAAACAUCAAAAGAGAGUUUGACAGUUCCAUAACUGUUGAUAUUGGCAGGCAGGUUCUUCCUAUACUUGAAUGUUUUUUGCCGAGCUUAAUCUAUCUAAUAACUUUGAUUGACAUCGUUGAUGUUUUUGUAGAUCAAAGUUUUAUGUAAGAUCAUCCCACGACAAAUAAAGGCUGAAAAUGCAGUUUCUGUAAUCAGAUAAACAAUUGAAGAACUCAUUUCAAAGUGCAAAGAGAUUGUAGAAUUUGAGGGUGAGAGAAUUAAUGAGGAUGAGUACGUGAAUGAUAGAGAUCCAAGCAUUCUUCGGUUUUUUCUUGCUAGCCGUGAAGAGGUAUAAAAUUAAGAGUUGAAUGAAGAAUAACUGCAAACUCAACAAAUUGUUGGUACUUUGGAAGAAAUCUCUAUAUAUCUGUCUUUGUCUAGGAUACGAGUAAUAUUUAGUACUACAUUUCAGUUAGAUUUUCUUUGUUAUUGGACUUGGUUUACUUUGAUUUGCCAAGGUGAUAUUACCUAAAUACAAUUUUAGUUUUCUUAAUUUGUAUGAUUGUGGAUGA